AGCGAACGAUGGCGGCAGGCUUAACACAUGCAAGUCGAGGGGAGCGGCAGACGGGUGAGUAACGCGUGGGAACGUACCUUUUGGCUCGGAACAACACAGGGAAACUUGUGCCAAUACCGGAUACCGAAAGAUCGGCCCGCGAAUGAUUAGCUAGUUGGUGAGGUAAUGGCCCACUAAGGCGAAGAACAGUAGAUGGACUGAGAGGAUGAUCAGACACAUUUGUACUGAGACACGGCCCAAACUCCUGCGGGAGGCAGCAGUAGGAAAUGUGGGGAAAUAGGGGGAACCCUAGUCCAGCGAUGCCGCGUGAGUGAUAAAGGCCCUAGGGUUGUAAAGCUCUUUUGUGCGGGAAGCAGUACCGCAAGAAUAAGCCCCGGCUAACUUCGUGCCAGCAGCCGCGGUAGUAC
rnacentral:rRNA from 1 species